UUCCGCUUGAAAUCCGUCUUCUUCCCGCUGCCAAAACAACUCGACCACUCCCUAUCUGCCCUCGUCGACGUGGUUUUGGUAGGGUGUUAUUUGACCUCGAAACUCGAUGAUGAACACAAUUUCAGUGAGGCUUUCUGAAGUAUUUGCAUCAUGGACUCUGAACAUGAUGGAUUUGAUGAUGUCCAUUGCUUGAUUAAAUCUAUUGAUAGGAUCCCACUGUAAUUGAUGUUAGUUGGAGAUCGUUGUGGCUGGGGCUUAUAUCGCCUCCGCGAUGUGAGAUUUGAGAAAGUUCUAAGAUUCUCAGAAUGCACUCGUAUCUGGCUUUCAAGAAUUCACAGAGAUGAGAAUAUGCGGUCAGCCUCCAGAUCUCAAGAAGCGAGUAUCGUUUCACUUUAAGCUCUAGUCUUCUUUUUUUCUUUUUGGGCUUUUAUUGGUUUUUCUGAUGGAUUAUGUCCUGGUUUCUCCGUUGCUGCUGAAACAUGGACAAGAAACUUCAGAUUAAGUUUAAUGCAAACCGAAUGGUCGUGGGAACACUUUGUGGGUUUGAUCAAUUCAUGAACCUGGUGGCUGAGAACACUAUAGAAGUGAGUAGAAAAGAGAGAAAUGACAUGAGCACAAGUGGUUAUUCAAGGAAACAGUGUGGUUAUUGUGGAGGCUCUUGAACCGGUGAACAAAUCGUAACUGAUCAUGCCUGAUAAUUUGGAUUGAUGGAGACUAAAUAGCUUGUAGUUUUGGAUGUUAUUGUAAUGCUAUAUGUUCAGAGGAUGUGAUCCAAUUUUAUUCAAGCAUCUAUUAAGCUUCCAACUUGUGCAUGAUUUGGUAUGAAUGCUAGUGACAAUGAUUCCAAAGCUCUGAUCAUGGAUAAUCUCAACAGUGGCCAUCAGAGUUUUCUUA